AUGAAGCAAGAUGUAGCUGAAUUUGUGCAACAGUGUGAGAUAUGUCAAAAAGCUAAGCAUGAACACUGCAAGUAUCCAGGUUUGCUAAAUCCUUUACCAAUACCUGACAGUCCUUGGCAACACAUAACAAUGGAUUUCAUAGAAGCUUUGCCCAAGUCCGAUGGAUAUACUGUGAUCUUGGUAGUUGUAGAUAGAUAUACCAAAUACAGUCAUUUUAUUCCAUUGAAACAUCCAUUUUCUGCUCCAACAGUGGCUAAAGCCUUCCUGGAAACAGUAGUAAAGUUGCACGGUCCACCUUGUUCUAUUGUGUCAGAUAGAGACAAAAUCUUCACAAGCUACUUUUGGAAGGAUUUGUUCAGAUUAUGGGACACUAAGUUGAAUAUGAGUACGGCAUAUCACCCACAAACAGAUGGGCAGAGUGAGAGGGUGAAUCAGUGUGUGGAAAUGUACUUGAGGUGCUCUGUGCAUGACAACCCUCAUAAGUGGCAUUCUUGGCUUCCAUUAGCUGAGUUUUGGUAUAACACCAAUUACCAUACUUCCCUGGGUUGCUCUCCCUUCAAAGCUUUGUAUGGCCACAAUCCAAAUUAUGGGUUUUUCUCCUCAGUUCUCCAAUCUGAUAAUGUAGAUAUGGAACAAUGGCUGAGAGAACAUCAGUCUCAUUCAGCUCUUCUUAAAGCUCAUCUUCUGAAGGCUCAAGCAAAGAUUAAGGCUUAUGCAGAUCAACACAGAACUGAGCGCUCAUUUGAAGUGGGAGAUGAGGUGUUGCUUAAACUUCAACCCUAUGCACAACAUUCAGUUGUCAACCGUCCAUGUGCUAAGUUGGCCUACAAGUAUUAUGGACCCUUUUCGGUGUUAGAGCGCAUCGGACCAGCAGCUUACAAACUGCAGUUACCUUCAGAGGCUCUCAUUCAUCCUGUGUUCCAUGUGUCUCAACUGAAAGAGCAUAAACCAGAUCAUACACCGGUCUUCUCGCAGUUACCGUCGAUGGUGGAUUUAUCUGUGGCUCAACUGGUGCCAGAGGUUUUGCUGGAUCGCAAGAUGGUUAAGAAAAAUAACAAGGUUCAAGUGCAGGUGUUGGUAAAGUGGUCUGGAUUAUCGGAAGAAGCGGCGACUUGGGAGGACUAUGAUGUGCUUAAGAGUAGGUUCCUAGAUGCACCAGCAUGGGGACAAGCUGAUGCUCAAGAGGGCGGCAUUGUCAGCAGUGCUACGCAGAUGCUGGCAGCAUCGACAAGCAAGACAGAUGCAGGGACGUCAAGGGCGCGUAAUUCAGAAGCAAGUGCAAGCCCAUGGGCCGAAAGUCGAGUGGGCCGCAGUCCAGUCGAGAAGGCUGGAGGUCCAGGCGAGAAGAGUGAAUGGGUAUAUCAGUAG
rnacentral:rRNA from 1 species